AGCAGCCGCGGUAACUCCAGCUACAAUGGGGUAUUAUAAAAGUUGUUGCAGUUAAAAAGCUCGUAGUUGAAUUUCGGGAUUAGUACGUUGGUCGUGCCUUAGGUACGUACUGGUGUUACUGGUUCCUACCUUCUGACGAACCAUCAUGUCAUUAAUUUGGUGUGGCGGGGAAUCAGGACUGUUACUUUGAAAAAAUUAGAGUGUUUAAAGCAGGCUCGCGCUUGAAUACAUUAGCAUGGAAUAAUGAAAUAGGACGUUGACCCUAUUUUGUUGGUUUCUAGGAUUGACGUAAUGAUUAAUAGGGAUAGUUGGGGGCAUUAGUAUUCAAUUGUCAGAGGUGAAAUUCUUGGAUUUAUUGAAGACUAACUACUGCGAAAGCAUUUGCCAAGGAUGUUUUCAUUAAUCAAGAACGAAAGUUAGGGGAUCGAAGACGAUCAGAUACCGUCGUAGUCUUAACCAUAAACUAUGCCGACUAGGGAUCGGAUGAUGUUAUUUUUAAUGACUCAUUCGGCGCCUUACG
rnacentral:rRNA from 1 species